rnacentral:rRNA from 1 species
CCUACGGGUGGCAGCAGUGAGGAAUAUUGGUCAAUGGGCGAGAGCCUGAACCAGCCAAGUCGCGUGAAGGAUGAAGGCCCUACGGUUUGUAAACUUCUUUUAUACAGGAAUAAAGUGAGGCACGUGUUCCUUUUUGUAUGUACCUUAUGAAUAAGCAUCGGCUAACUCCGUGCCAGCAGCCGCGGUAAUACGGAGGAUGCGAGCGUUAUCCGGAUUUCUUGGGUUUAAAGGGUGCGUAGGUGGUUUGUUAAGUCAGCGGUGAAAGUUUGGGGCUCAACCAUAAAAUUGCCGUUGAUACUGGCUGACUUGAGUAUAUGUGAGGUAGGCGGAAUGCGUGGUGUAGCGGUGAAAUGCAUAGAUAUCACGAAGAACUCCGAUUGCGAAGGCAGCAUACUAAACUAUAACUGACACUGAGGCACGAAAGCGUGGGGAUCAAACAGGAUUAGAUACCCUUGUAGUC